AGAGUUUGAUCUGGCUCAGAACGACGCUGGCGGCGCGUUGUAAGCAUGCAAGUCGAGCGGCAAGGGCCUUCGGGCCCCUAGAGCGGCGGACGGGUGAGUAACACGUGGACAAUCUGCCCCCGCCCGGGAUAGCCCAGGGAAACCUGGAUUAAUACCGGAUGAGACGGGACCCGCGAAGGCGGACCCGGAAGGCGCUGCGGCGCCGCCGGGGGAUGAGUCUGCGUCCCAUUAGCUAGACGGCGGGGUAACGGCCCACCGUGGCGACGAUGGGUAGCCGGCCUGAGAGGGUGGACGGCCACAUUGGAACUGAGACACGGUCCAGACUCCUACGGGAGGCAGCAGCUAAGAAUCUUCCGCAAUGGGCGAAAGCCUGACGGAGCGACGCCCGCGUGAACGAAGAAGGCCGUGAGGUUGUAAAGUUCUUUUCGGGAGGGGGAACAACCGUGGCAGGGAAUGGCCGCGGGAUGACGUGAAUCCCGGAAUAAGCCCCGGCUAACUACGUGCCAGCAGCGGC
rnacentral:rRNA from 1 species